ACCAGGAUGGCCGAGUGGUUAAGGCGUUGGACUUAAGACCCAAUGGGCAGAUGCCCUCGUGGGUUCGAACCCCACUCCUGGUA
rfam:Gasterosteus aculeatus cont1.011374, whole genome shotgun sequence.